rnacentral:lncRNA from 1 species
CCGUAGUAGGAGAUACCAUAGUGACUUGGCUUUGGGGUGGUUUCUCCGUGGACAAUGCCACCUUAAAUCGUUUUUUUAGUCUUCAUCAUUUACUCCCCUUUCUUUUAGUAGGCGCCAGUCUUCUUCAUCUGGCCGCAUUGCAUCAAUAUGGAUCAAAUAAUCCAUUGGGUGUACAUUCAGAGAUGGAUAAAAUUGCUUCUUACCCUUAUUUUUAUGUAAAGGAUCUAGUAGGUUGGGUAGCUUUUGCUAUCUUUUCUUCCAUUUUUAUUUUUUAUGCUCCUAAUGUUUUGGGGCAUCCCGACAAUUAUAUACCUGCUAAUCCGAUGCCCACCCCGCCUCAUAUUGUACCGGAAUGGUAUUUCCUACCGAUCCAUGCCAUUCUUCGUAGUAUACCUGACAAAGCGGGAGGUGUAGCCGCAAUAGCACCAGUUUUUAUAUGUCUGUUGGCUUUACCUUUUUUUAAAAGUAUGUAUGUACGUAGUUCAAGUUUUCGCCCGAUUCACCAAGGAAUAUUUUGGUUGCUUUUGGCGGAUCGCUUACUACUAGGUUGGAUCGGAUGUCAACCUGUGGAGGCACCAUUUGUGACUAUUGGACAAAUUUCCCCUUUUGUUUUCUUCUUGUUCUUUGCCAUAACGCCCAUUCUGGGACGAGUUGGAAGAGGAAUUCCUAAUUCUUACACGGAUGAGACUGCCUGAAAAGUGAGAAAUUCUGACACCCAUCAUUUUCGAGUGAGUAUUACACC